UUGAAUACUAUUGAGCGCUGUGCUGGCCUUUCGGGGCAUGUGCACGCGUUCUUUAUUAUAUCUAUCUCUUGUGAACCUAGUGUGGGCUUUGGAGGAACAGUUGGUCUUUGUGCCUUCUGGGAUUCUGAAGACCAUUUUUAUAAACAUUGAAAAAGUUAACAGAAUGUCUUCUUUUUGCUUCGGCAAAAAAAAAAAACCUAUA
rnacentral:misc_RNA from 1 species